AUUGAACGCUGGCGGCAUGCUUUACACAUGCAAGUCGAACGGCAGCAUGAUGUGUAGCAAUACACGUUGAUGGCGAGUGGCGAACGGGUGAGUAAUAUAUCGGAACAUGUCCUGUAGCGGGGGAUAACCUAUCGAAAGAUGGACUAAUACCGCAUACGCUCUACGGAGGAAAGGCGGGGGUCGCAAGACCUCGCACUAUAGGAGUGGCCGAUAUCGGAUUAGCUAGUUGGCGGGGUAAAAGCCCACCAAGGCGACGAUCCGUAGCUGGUCUGAGAGGAUGA
rnacentral:rRNA from 1 species